rnacentral:rRNA from 1 species
UGCAUCGAUGAAGAACGCAGCGAAAUGCGAUAAGUAAUGUGAAUUGCAGAAUUCAGUGAAUCAUCGAAUCUUUGAACGCACAUUGCGCCCCCUGGCAUUCCGGGGGGCAUGCCUGUUCGAGCGUCAUUACACCACUCAAGCCUGGCUUGGUAUUGAGCGCCGCGGCCUGCCCGCGCGCUCCAAUGUCUCCGGCUGAGCCGUCCGUCUCUAAGCGUUGUGAAUAGCGAUCGCUUGCGAGGCCCGGGCGGUUCGACGCCGUUAAACCCCCCAUUUUCCAUGGUUGACCUCGGAUCAGGUAGGGAUACCCGCUGAACUUAAGCAUAUCAAUAAGCGGAGGA